UACAGAGGUCCCAAGCGUUGUUCGGAUUCAUUGGGCGUAAAGGGUGCGUAGGCGGCGCGGUAAGUCGGGUGUGAAAUCUCGGAGCUUAACUCCGAAACUGCAUUCGAUACUGCCGUGCUUGAGGACUGGAUAUGAGACUGGAAUUUACGGUGUAGCGGUGAAAUGCGUAGAUAUCGUAAGGAAGACCAGUGGCGAAGGCGGGUCUCUGGACAGUUCCUGACGCUGAGGCACGAAGGCCAGGGGAGCAAACGGG
rnacentral:rRNA from 1 species